rnacentral:misc_RNA from 1 species
CUUUAAAGGAUUUGAGUAAAUUUUAGUUUUUUACCAGUUAUCAUGGGUGUCAAUGUGCUAAGGGCCUAUAAAUCAGGUGGUUCAAUUUUGAGAGAUCUUAGUAUGUGUUUCAGUGCUGAUUUCCCCAUCAAUGAUGGAUGAGGAUGAGGGUGCUCCUAGUGAUCCUCCUUGCAGCGCUACAUCACAAAGCCUGGUUGAGUUAUCAGGUUUCGGGUAUAAACUAUCUCAGCUAGGGUUUUUGAUGGGUCUUAAAACUUUUGAGCUAGGGUGGUAGGUUUUUGAUGAGUCUUGAGACUUUGAGCGAGGAUGGUAGCUAGGUUGGGUUUUAGGCACAAGCCUCCAUAUAUGUGGGCCUUUUAGACCUUUGGUAAUGCGUAGUGUUGCUUAAGCCUCUGGGCCUAAGCGAAGGUCGCGUGCAGACUGCAGGACUCUGUUUCCCGCCGUCUAGCCUACUCGCUAUAAAGCGUUCCUGCAGCCAAUUGACAAAGGCCAUAACGAGUUCUUCUCACUGUUCUAAAACCAAAAGCUCAUUUCUCGAGCUCCUCUCUAUCCUUCGAUCAAUCGAUCAAUCGAUCAAUCUCUUCUAUUUUGUAAGGCCCAAAAGGUCGAUUGUCGAAACCUAAAACCACUCAAUAUCUUCUACUUCGUUUUCCAAACGAAAAUGGAGCUUCGUUCUCGUAAAAGAAUCCCCAAACCCUCGAUGAAUGACAAUGAGCAAGGGGAACGUGAUUGCUCUAGUGAAGCUGAUGGCAAUAAUUCACCGCAUGGCUGUGGCUCUGAUGUUGAAUUGUACGUGCUGUCUUCGCAUUCUGAUGAUAGCAGCUCAAGUGAUGAAUGUGAAAUGAUUCAAGAUGUAGAGAUUACACACAAAAAACAAAAAGCAAAUACUAAAAUUGAUGUUGACAUAGAUGAUCGGGAAGGUAGUUUUCUGGAUUUUAUGAGUUCUAGUAAUCUUCAUAUUUCUAAUAAUCCGGAGCCUUCUACUAAAAUAAGUAUGACAGAAAUUGAGUUUAAUAAUGAACAACAACCAGCUCAACCACCAAGAGCAGCUCGAGUUAAAUUUAUUGUAGAGAAAGGGAAGAGAGCAUAUAGGUCAAGAAGGAAGCGGGAUAAAAAUAGGUCAGGGCCACCGUUGAUGUGGGAAGUUUGGGAAGAAGAACAUGAUAAAUGGAUUGAUGAACACUUAGCCGAAGACGUUGAUUUGGAUCAUCAACAUGGUAUUGUGAAUGAAACGGCUGAACCACCAUCAGAGUUGAUUAUGCCUUUGUUACGAUACCAAAAGGAAUGGUUGGCCUGGGCUUUGAAGCAGGAAGAGUCAGAGACCAAGGGGGGAAUUCUUGCUGAUGAGAUGGGAAUGGGUAAGACCAUUCAAGCAAUUUCCUUGGUCCUUGCCAAACGAGAAAUUCUCUGGAAAACCCAGGAAUCCUUUGGAGCCACACUUUUACCAGGUUCAUCUGUUGAUUUGAGUGGAAUCAAACCCACCCUUGUAGUCUGUCCUGUUGUAGCAGUGAGUCAGUGGGUAAGUGAGAUUGAUCGAUUUACUACAAAAGGAAGCACCAAGGUGCUGGUUUAUCAUGGAGCCAAUAGAGAGAAGAGUUUUAAAAAGUUCUCUGGUUAUGAUUUUGUUGUAACAACCUAUAGUACUGUUGAGGCUGAAUUCAGAAAAUACAUGAUGCCGCCUAAGAAAAAGUGUGCCUACUGUGGGAAGUCAUUCCAUGAAAACAAACUUGUUAUUCACCUGAGAUAUUUUUGUGGUCCUGAUGCCAUUAGAACUGCAAAGCAGUCUAAGCAAGUCAGGAAGAAGCCCAAAACGGUACCAUCAGCUUCUAUGCAGAAAACAGAAUCUGGUAAAGACAAAAAUCGUGGAUUUCAGGAUGAUGUGAUGAAGGGAGCUUGGAAGAAGAAAAGGAAACAGCAUGUUGUAGAUGAUGAUAUUGAGGAUAUGGAGAACUCGGAAGUUGAACAAGCCUUGCGGAAAGAGAAAUCACUUCUGCACUCGGUGAAGUGGGAUCGCAUUAUUUUGGAUGAGGCUCAUUAUGUGAAAGAUAGGCGUAGUAAUACUGCAAAAGCCAUUUUUGCUUUAGAAUCUUUAUAUAAAUGGGCUCUAAGUGGCACUCCCCUUCAAAAUCGUGUUGGAGAACUUUAUUCUCUGGUACGCUUCCUGCGAAUAGUCCCAUACUCAUAUUACUUGUGCAAGGAUUGUGAUUGUCGAACCCUUGAUUAUAGGUCAUCAGCACAAUGCUUAAGCUGCCCCCACAGUUCUGUGAGACAUUUUUGUUGGUGGAAUAAAUACAUUUCUAAUCCGAUACAAGCAUAUGGACCUCAUGACAUUGGAAAAAGAGCUAUGAUAUUGCUGAAACAAAAAGUUUUGAGAAACAUAGUGCUUAGACGUACCAAAAAGGGCAGAGCUGCUGACCUUGCUCUUCCUCCUAGGAUGGUUAUGUUGAGGCGUGAUACUCUGGAUGUUAAAGAAGAAGAUUAUUAUCAGUCAUCAUACAAUGAAAGCCAGGCACAAUUUAAUACAUAUGUUAGGGCUGGAACUGUGAUGAAUAACUAUGCACACAUAUUUGACCUUCUAACUCGUUUGCGGCAGGCAGUUGAUCAUCCUUACCUUGUGGAAUAUUCUAAAACUGCGGUACAAAAAGAAGGAAAACUGGUUGAUGCUCAUAAUGGUGAGCAAGACUGUGGCAUUUGCCAUGAUCCUGUUGAAGAUCCUGUUGUGAGUUUUCUUAAUCUGUUAUUAUGUUCCUUCUUAUCUUUGGAUGUUUGAUUCACGACACUCCCAACCUUUUGUUCAUGUUCUCUCACCCUUAAGUAAUUUGCUCAAUAUUCUUCUAUCAACUUUUAAUGCUUUUUAGGGGCUGUUUGGAUACUGGGAAUGAAAGUGUAGGAAUGGGAAGGAGGGCUCAUUCCCACUCCUUAUUUUUAAUACUUAACCUCCAUAUUGGAAUGAAAAUCAGGUCAUAACAAUUCAUAUAUUCUUGAUUUCACAUUCACAUCCCUUGUGUUCAAGAUAAUGAAAUGCUCAAGGAAUGUAAACAAAGAGUUGGUUCACAUUCCCAGUUUCUAAUGUCAAUGUACAAUUUGAUUAAUUGAUUUCCCAUCUAAUACUCUUGUUAUUUCAGGUCACUGCCUGUCUCCACGUCUUCUGUAAGGCUUGUCUGCUUGAUUUCUCUGCUUCCUUGGGACAAGUCUCCUGCCCUACCUGUUCUAAAUUACUUACUGUUGAUUUGACUGCAAAUUCUGGUGGUGGAGAUCAGAUUGCUAAGACAACCAUUAAGGGUUUUAAAUCCUCUAGUAUUCUCAACAGAAUACAGCUAAAUGAUUUUCAGACAAGCACAAAGAUAGAAGCUUUGAGGGAAGAAAUUAGAUUUAUGGUUGAAAGGGAUGGUUCUGCAAAAGGAAUUGUUUUCAGCCAGUUUACUUCAUUCUUGGAUCUCAUAAGCUACUCCCUACAUAAGUCUGGUGUAAAUUGCGUUCAAUUGGUGGGAAGCAUGUCUUUGCCUGCAAGAGAUGCUGCUAUCAAGAAAUUUACUGAGGAUCCAGAUUGCAAGAUAUUCUUAAUGAGUUUGAAAGCUGGAGGCGUUGCUCUCAAUCUGACAGUAGCAUCACAUGUUUUCUUGAUGGAUCCUUGGUGGAACCCAGCUGUGGAGCGGCAAGCACAAGAUAGAAUUCAUAGGAUAGGGCAAUACAAACCAAUCAGAAUUGUGAGAUUUAUUAUUGAGAACACCAUUGAGGAGAGGAUUUUACAGCUGCAAGAAAAAAAGGAGCUAGUGUUUGAAGGGACUGUUGGUGGCUCGUCAGAAGCCCUGGGAAAAUUAACAGAGGCAGAUCUGCGGUUUUUAUUUGUCACUUGAAUGUGAAACUGUAUGCAGUUCUUUGUAGGCUGUGGUAAAAACUAUAAGUAUAUAAAUGUUUGUAAUUUUGUCUUAUUAUUAGUGUUAAUAUUAUGGAUGGUUUUGAGUAUUUGCCCAGUCAAUAUCUGUACUGGUAAUUAACCUACAUGAAAAUUAAGUGGCUGGUGUAAGCUUUGGUGACUACUGACUAGAUUUAGGUCUUAUUUCAGUAGUCAGAUGAAUACUUAGAAGUAAAACUAUAUUGUAAUUUUUAUUGGACAAUGUUAUCCAACUUCAGCUGCUUGAGAGAUGGGGGAAGCAUUUUGCUUUCUCUACCUUUCUCACUCGCCUCGCAAGUUCUUUAUGUUCAACAUAAGGUCUAUUGCCUUCCUACGCCAUUGAGGUUUUUUCGCUUGAAAGCCUAUAAGGCGAGAACUAUUCAGUGCAACAGUUGUAUGUACAAUUGAUACAUUUUGAUUGUUGAUUAUUAUGGGAUCCACAUGGAAUCUAGUAUAAUCAAUG